rnacentral:rRNA from 1 species
ACCUACGGGGCGCAACAGUGGGGAAUAUUGCACAAUGGGGGAAACCCUGAUGCAGCGACGCCGCGUGAAGGAAGAAGUAUCUCGGUAUGUAAACUUCUAUCAGCAGGGAAGAAAAUGACGGUACCUGACUAAGAAGCUCCGGCUAAAUACGUGCCAGCAGCCGCGGUAAUACGUAUGGAGCAAGCGUUAUCCGGAUUUACUGGGUGUAAAGGGUGCGUAGACGGGAAAUUAAGUUAGUUGUGAAAUCCCUCGGCUCAACUGAGGAACUGCAACUAAAACUGAUUUUCUUGAGUGCAGGAGAGGUA